rnacentral:rRNA from 2 species
UUUAAAGGGAAAAGAAAGGGUUUUAUAUUAUAUAGAAUUUUGGAACAGUCAGGACGAACGCUGGCGGCGUGCCUAAUACAUGCAAGUCGAGCGGACUUAAAAAGCUUGCUUUUUAAGUUAGCGGCGGACGGGUGAGUAACACGUGGGCAACCUGCCUGUAAGACUGGGAUAACUUCGGGAAACCGGAGCUAAUACCGGAUAAUCCUUUUCUACUCAUGUAGAAAAGCUGAAAGACGGUUUACGCUGUCACUUACAGAUGGGCCCGCGGCGCAUUAGCUAGUUGGUGAGGUAACGGCUCACCAAGGCGACGAUGCGUAGCCGACCUGAGAGGGUGAUCGGCCACACUGGGACUGAGACACGGCCCAGACUCCUACGGGAGGCAGCAGUAGGGAAUCUUCCGCAAUGGACGAAAGUCUGACGGAGCAACGCCGCGUGAGUGAUGAAGGUUUUCGGAUCGUAAAACUCUGUUGUUAGGGAAGAACAAGUACGAGAGUAACUGCUCGUACCUUGACGGUACCUAACCAGAAAGCCACGGCUAACUACGUGCCAGCAGCCGCGGUAAUACGUAGGUGGCAAGCGUUGUCCGGAAUUAUUGGGCGUAAAGCGCGCGCAGGCGGUCCUUUAAGUCUGAUGUGAAAGCCCACGGCUCAAACCGUGGAGGGUCAUUGGAAACUGGGGGACUUGAGUGCAGAAGAGAAGAGUGGAAUUCCACGUGUAGCGGUGAAAUGCGUAGAGAUGUGGAGGAACACCAGUGGCGAAGGCGACUCUUUGGUCUGUAACUGACGCUGAUGCGCGAAAGACGUGC